UACGAAGGGGGCUAGCGUUGCUCGGAAUUACUGGGCGUAAAGCGCACGUAGGCGGUCUUUUAAGUCGGUGGUGAAAUCCUGGAGCUCAACUCCAGAACUGCCUUCGAUACUGGAAGACUUGAGUCCGGGAGAGGUGAGCGGAACUGCGAGUGUAGAGGUGAAAUUCGUAGAUAUUCGCAAGAACACCAGUGGCGAAGGCGGCUCACUGGCCCGGUACUGACGCUGAGGUGCGAAAGCGUGGGGAGCAAACAGG
rnacentral:rRNA from 1 species